rnacentral:rRNA from 1 species
UACGAAGGGGGCUAGCGUUGCUCGGAAUCACUGGGCGUAAAGCGCACGUAGGCGGCUUUCUAAGUCAGGGGUGAAAUCCUGGAGCUCAACUCCAGAACUGCCUUUGAUACUGGAGUGCUUGAGUCCGGGAGAGGUGAGCGGAACUGCGAGUGUAGAGGUGAAAUUCGUAGAUAUUCGCAAGAACACCAGUGGCGAAGGCGGCUCACUGGCCCGGUACUGACGCUGAGGUGCGAAAGCGUGGGGAGCAAACAGG